CCUACGGGAGGCAGCAGUGAGGAAUAUUGGUCAAUGGGCGCUAGCCUGAACCAGCCACGUCGCGUGAAGGAUGACUGCCCUCUGGGUUGUAAACUUCUUUUAUAUGGGAAUAAAGUGCAGUAUGUAUAUUGCUUUGCAUGUACCUUAUGAAUAAGGAUCGGCUAACUCCGUGCCAGCAGCCGCGGUAAUACGGAGGAUCCGAGCGUUAUCCGGAUUUAUUGGGUUUAAAGGGAGCGUAGGCGGGUUGUUAAGUCAGGUGGGAAAGUUUGCGGCUCAACCGUAAAAUUGCAGUUGAUACUGGCAGCCUUGAGUACAGGAGAGGUAGGCGGAAUUCGUGGUGUAGCGGUGAAAUGCGUAGAUAUCACGAAGAACUCCGAUUGCGAAGGCAGCCUGCUGGACUGUAACUGACGGUGAGGCUCGAAAGUGUGGGGAGCAAACAGGAUUAGAUACCCGAGUAGUC
rnacentral:rRNA from 1 species